rnacentral:lncRNA from 1 species
AAAAAAGAAUUGGGAUGGGUUUAAUAAAAAGAUGGCUUAGCUGAUUGUAAAAGCCAUAAAUAUUUUUUAUUGUUCUUCAGAUGUUAAUGAAUUUAAUAGAAUACCUAUUUAUACUUUUUGCAAAACAAAUUAGGAUAGAUUGAAAAUUACUUAUGAAGAAAUUAGCCAAGUUAAAGAGUCCAAAAUUAAUUUACUUGUUCAUAUG